CUGGUGAAAGGUGGUGCAUGGUUGUCGUCAGCUCGUGUCGUGAGAUGUUGGGUUAAGUCCCGCAACGAGCGCAACCCUCGUUCUAUGUUGCCAGCACGUAAUGGUGGGAACUCAUGGGAUACUGCCGGGGUCAACUCGGAGGAAGGUGGGGAUGACGUCAAAUCAUCAUGCCCCUUAUGUCUUGGGCUUCACGCAUGCUACAAUGGCCGGUACAAAGGGCUGCAAUACCGUGAGGUGGAGCGAAUCCCAAAAAGCCGGUCCCAGUUCGGAUUGAGGUCUGCAACUCGACCUCAUGAAGUCGGAGUCGCUAGU
rnacentral:rRNA from 1 species